UGUGCAGGCGGCCUCUUAAGUUUGGUGUGAAAUCUCCCGGCUCAACCGGGAGGGUGCGCCGAAUACUGAGAGGCUCGAGUGCGGGAGAGGAGAGUGGAAUUCCUGGUGUAGCGGUGAAAUGCGUAGAUAUCAGGAGGAACACCGGCGGUGUAGACGGCUCUCUGGACCGCGACUGACGCUGAGACACGAAAGCGUGGGUAGCAAACAGGAUUAGAUACCCUGGUAGUCCACGCCCUAAACGAUGCAUAUUUGGUGUGGGCAGUUCAUUCUGUCCGUGCCGGAGCUAACGCGUUAAAUAUGCCGCCUGGGGAGUACAGUCGCAAGGCUGAA
rnacentral:rRNA from 1 species